rnacentral:lncRNA from 1 species
ACCACCAGUCCGCGUCCGCUCUGCUGCUGUCUGCCAUCGCCAACACCGCGCACAACCUCCUGGGCUGCUGCCGUUCUCUGUAACACUAGAUGAAGGCUCUCGGAGGAAGUCAGACCUAGUCAUCUUCCAAUUCCAACUCACCGUCUUCAGCUUCGUCAUAAUCGCCGUCGCCACCGCUCAAGUAAGAGCACUAUAAGUCGCCCCUUUUUCUUUGAAUUUCAGUUCCUUCCCAAGUCCUCUAAGCAUGUCUGCCAUGGCUUCGUUUAUUGCAAUUGCCCCGUUGAUUGUUCAAAUUUUAGCAUGCGCAUGUUUAUAUCAUGAUUGAAUUUGAAAUCCC